CUCCACCUCCGGCUCCCAGCCACUACCCCGCCGGGAGGGAGCCAGCGAGUGGGAGGGCGCCCGGGAGGGCGACUGCGCACCCGAGGCCGCACGAGAUGGCGAAAAGCGCAUGGGCCCCCCCCACCCUCCUCCCCCACUGCUCCCCACGUGACUCCUAUGAACCAUGGGUCCGCCCGGCGGCAGCACCACCCCCGGCGGCAGCACCACCCCCGGCGGCAUUGCGGGUAGGGACACCAGCGAGUGCGGUCCGAAGCGGGACAGGGAGCGGGAGAGGGAGCGGGACCGGAGGCUGCGGGAGAGGCGGUCCGGGCCGUCCGCCGGGUCGUUGUCCGGGGACCAGUCGGGCCGCUGUGUCGGGGAAGCAGGUAGC
rnacentral:lncRNA from 1 species